GACGAACGCUGGCGGCGUGCCUAAUACAUGCCAGUCGAACGCACUCUCGUUUAGAUUGAAGGAGUUUGCUCCUGAUUGAUAAACAUUUGAGUGAGUGGCGGACGGGUGAGUAACACGUGGGUAACCUGCCCUAAAGUGGGGGAUAACAUUUGGAAACAGAUGCUAAUACCGCAUAAAACCUAACACCGCAUGGUGUAGGGUUGAAAGAUGGUUUCGGCUAUCACUUUAGGAUGGACCCGCGGUGCAUUAGUUAGUUGGUGAGGUAAAGGCUCACCAAGACCGUGAUGCAUAGCCGACCUGAGAGGGUAAUCGGCCACACUGGGACUGAGACACGGCCCAGACUCCUACGGGAGGCAGCAGUAGGGAAUCUUCCACAGUGGACGAAAGUCUGAUGGAGCAACGCCGCGUGAGUGAAGAAGGUUUUCGGAUCGUAAAACUCUGUUGUUGGAGAAGAAUGUAUCUGAUAGUAACUGAUCAGGUAGUGACGGUAUCCAACCAGAAAGCCACGGCUAACUACGUG
rnacentral:rRNA from 1 species